CUAAGUUUGAUGGCGACCGGCGCACGGGUGAGUAACACGUAUCCAACCUGCCGAUGACUCGGGGAUAGCCUUUCGAAAGAAAGAUUAAUACCCGAUGGCAUAGUUCUUCCGCAUGGUAGAACUAUUAAAGGAUUUCGGUCAUCGAUGGGGAUGCGUUCCAUUAGGUUGUUGGCGGGUAACGGCCCACCAAGCCUUCGAUGGAUAGGGGUUCUGAGAGGAAGGUCCCCCCACAUUGGAACUGAGACACGGUCCAAACUCCUACGGGAGGCAGCAUG
rnacentral:rRNA from 1 species